rnacentral:rRNA from 1 species
UACGUAGGGCGCAAGCGUUGUCCGGAAUUAUUGGGCGUAAAGAGCUCGUAGGCGGUCUGUCGCGUCUGGUGUGAAAUCCCAUGGCUCAACUGUGGGCUUGCAUCGGGUACGGGCAGACUAGAGUGCUGUAGGGGAGACUGGAAUUCCUGGUGUAGCGGUGGAAUGCGCAGAUAUCAGGAGGAACACCGAUGGCGAAGGCAGGUCUCUGGGCCGAAACUGACGCUGAGGAGCGAAAGCGUGGGGAGCGAACAGG